rnacentral:hammerhead_ribozyme from 1 species
GCACUGCUGAAGAGUCCCACAAUAGGACGAAGCAGUUGUCCAGUUU